UUGGAAAGGUUUCUCAUCAAACUGUGUGACAGAGGAGAGGAAUUCCUCGAGUGGCUGAUGGAUGUGAGCUGCUGACUGACGGGAGCGCGCGUCCUCCUGACGGCAGCGGCGUAGGAGUCCUGGCUGCGCAGCUUAAGAGAGUUCUCCUUGAAGAUUCCCAAGCUUUUCCGGUGGGAGAAUGGCCCUCCUAGGUGAAGCUGCAGCAGUACUGCCAUCCUGCUCACAAGAAAACUAAGAACUACAGAGGAGUAUAAAGACCACAGCACAUUUUCAUGCCUCAUAAAAUGCUCAGGGUCGGCACUCCCACGUUCCUUCAACAAGGACCCAGGAAUGUCCUCCUGGCUGCUGACAGUUCCCAGCUCCCACUAUUUUCUGGACACUGGAGAAUGUGGCUGUUUUAUGAAGGUAACUCAAAUUUACUCCUGGCCAUUUCAAGCCUUUCUGGAACACAAGUUUCACCAAACAAACAGCACUAAAAUCUCACCUAGAUGUUCUGAUCUGGCCUUCCCUCCCACCACGCCCACUGUAAUUUGUCAGAGAGCUCCAGCAUCACAACCCUGGCCACA